GCGAGAGUGGCGGAACUGGCAGACGCGCUGGACUUAGGAUCCAGAGGGGCAUCCCCGUGGGGGUUCAACUCCCCCCUCUCGCACCA
rnacentral:tRNA from 4 species